rnacentral:rRNA from 1 species
AUUGAACGCUGGCGGCAGGCCUAACACAUGCAAGUCGAACGAGUGGCGGACGGGUGAGUAAUGUCUGGAAAACUGCCUGAUGGAGGGGGAUAACUACUGGAAACGGUAGCUAAUACCGCAUACCAUCGGAUGUGCCCCGAUGGGAUGAGCUAGUAGGUGGGGUAAAGGCUCACCUAGGCGACGCGCCCUAGCUGGUCUGAGAGGAUGACCAGCCACACUGGAACUGAGACACGGUCCAGACUCCUACGGGAGGCAGCAGUGGGGAAUAUUGCACAAUGGGCGAAAGCCUGAGGGAGCAAUGCCGCGUGUGUGAAGAAGGCCUUCGGGUUGUAAAGCACUUUCAGUGGGGAGGCGUUACUCGCAGAAGAAGCACCGGCUAACUCCGUGCCAGCCGCCGCGGUAAUUC